AGCAGAAAAGUUCUGUGUUCCAGAUCGUUUUCCUUCGAGCUCCCGUUUGGAUUUCGGUUCGAUUUCCCGUGACCGCGUCAAGGUUUUGUGCAGUUUAAACCAAAAUGAAAAUUCCACUGGGCCCGAAACAAGCCGAACAGGCCACCAAAUGGAUCUCUUCCGCCAUGGGAUUCGGAGGAGCCGCCGCUCUGGUCGGAUGCUACUUCACCGAUUGGAAGAUAAUCGUUGCGUACAUCCCAUUCUACGGUGGCAAGUUCGA